rnacentral:rRNA from 1 species
GACGAACGCUGGCGGCGUGCUUAACACAUGCAAGUCGAACGGAAAGGCCCUGCUUUUGUGGGGUGCUCGAGUGGCGAACGGGUGAGUAACACGUGAGUAACCUGCCCUUGACUUUGGGAUAACUUCAGGAAACUGGGGCUAAUACCGGAUAGGAGCUCCUGCUGCAUGGUGGGGGUUGGAAAGUUUCGGCGGUUGGGGAUGGACUCGCGGCUUAUCAGCUUGUUGGUGGGGUAGUGGCUUACCAAGGCUUUGACGGGUAGCCGGCCUGAGGGGGUGACCGGCCAAUUGGGGAAUAGGACACGGCCGAGGCGUGUGGGGGGGGACGAGGGGGGGAAUAUGAAAAAGGGGGCGGGAGCGUGAGGCGGAAACGCCGGGGGCGGGGUGGGGGCGUGGGGGUUGGAAACCGCUUUCGCGGGUGAAGAAGGGUGGGUGGGGGGAAUGGGUAAAGGAGCCCCAGAUAAAUAAGG